rnacentral:lncRNA from 1 species
CUCAAAGCUGUAGUUUCCACCUACCACUUGUUAGUUUGAUUCCUCACUAAAUAUGGAGUCGAAGAAAUGCGAGGAGAUCAGAUGCUUGCUAAAUAGCACUUCUUGAUAGCAACAAAAAUGAAGAGACCUGUGGAAGCCUUACCAAUCAAAAUAUUGGAUCAAGAAAAUAAAGCUGAUGUUGGAAAAAGUCGAGAAGAACCAGCUGAGAAGCUUGUCACUGUUCCUUUGGGUGAUGAUCCAAAAAAAAUAGUUCAGAUUGGGUCUUUACUAGAGCCUGACUUAAAAAGGAGAAACUGAUAUAUUUUCUUCGGGCAAAUGCCAAUAUCUUCACUUGGUCAGCAUCCGACAUGCCUGGAAUCUUAGCCGAUGUUAUUAUGCAUAAGCUCAAUGUUGAUCUAAAGUAUAAACCAAUGCAACAAAAGAAAAAAAACUUUGCUCCAGAAAAGCAGAAAGCAAUAGAUGAGGAAUUUGAUAAAUUAUUGAAGGCCAAAUUUAUUAGAGAAGCAUAGUGCCCGAAUUGGAUUGCAAAUAUUGUCAUGAUAAAGAAAGCCAAUGAAAAGUGGAGGAUUUGUGUUGAUUACACCGACCUCAACAAAGAUUGUUCAAAAGAUAGUUUUUCUCUUUCAAAAAUUGAUCAGCUUGUUGAUACAUCUUCAGGACACAUUGCUGAGUUUCAUGGAUGCUUUCUCUGAUUACAAUCAAAUCAAAAUGCCACCUGACGAUGAGAAAAAUGCGGCCUUUGUCAUCGAGAGAGAUUUGUAUUGUUAUAAAAUGAUUUCUUUUGAUCUUAAAAAUGUAGGUACCACAUAUCAACGUCUGGUGAACAAGAUCUUCAACCAACAAAUUUAUCGCAAUAUGGAGAUCUAUGUUGAUGAUAUGUUGGUGAAAAGCACUGAAUCAGAUCGGUAUAUUAUCAUCUAGGGGAAGCUUUUGGUGAACUUUGCAAGUAUUAAAUGAAGCUCAACCCCAAUAAAUAUAUUUUCGGAGUGACUUUGAAAAAAUUCUUAAUUUUUUAAUAACUCAAUGAGGAAUCGAAGCCAAUCCUGAAAAAAUCUGAGCUCUACUCAAAAUGAAGCAUCCGAGCUCCAUUAAAGAAGUUUGCAGCUCACUGGAUGGUGGCUUCUCUCAGUCGAUUUAUCUCUAGAUUAGUUAAAAAAUAUCUUCUUUUUUUAAAAUUCUCAGGCAUAUUAAAGACUUCACUUGGUCGGAUGAAUGUCGAGCUGCUUUCGAUGACCUCAAGAAAUAUCUCGGAUCCGCUCUAUUGUUAUCAAAGCCACUGGAAGGUGAGGAGUUAUUCAUGUAUUUAUCUGUUUCAGCUAACGCUAUUAGUUCGAUUUUGGUCUGAAGUGAUGCAGGAACACAAAGACCAAUCUAUUAUACAAGCAAAUUGCUUAGAAAUACUGAAACUCGAUAUUCCAAAACUGAGAAAAUGAUCUAUGCUCUUAUUACGUCUGUAAGAUGGCUUCAACUUUAUUUUCAAGCUCACUCUGUCAUAGUUUUGACUGAUCAAUCUCUGAAGUCAGUCUUACAGCGGCUUGAUACUUCAGAUUGGAUUGCUAAGUGGGCUAUUGAAUUAAGUGAGUUCGACAUUCAUUAUCGACCUUAGUCUUUAUUGAAAGCUCAAGUGCUAGCUGAUUUUAUUGUUGAAUGUUCUAUUCCUGAUGAAGAACCAAUUUUGAAAAAUUUGAAAAAUGUUAAUAUGGAUUCUUAUUGGAUAUUAUAUGUUGAUGGAGCUUCUAAUUCUAAAAGAAGUGGAGCUGGUUUAAUUCUAGCAAGCCCAGAAGGCGUUGUCACUAAACGCGUUUUAAGAUUUAAUUUUGAUACCUCAAAUAACAAAGCAGAAUAUAAGGCAUCGAUUGUAGGACUUGAGAUGGUUAAAGAACUCAAUAUUAAGAGGCUUAAAGUCUUCAUUGAUUCUCAGUUUAUUGUCGGUCAGGUAUGGGGUCAAUUUGAAGCUAAAUAUUUCACUUUAUCUCAAUAUUUAUAUAAUAUGAAAGAAUUAUCAAAAAGCUUUGAAGAUCUAGAAGUCAUACAGAUACCUAGGUCGGAAAAUGGCUGAGUCGAUGCUCUAUCUCAUUCAGCCACAUCUGGUUUCUUCGAGCUCUAUUCAAAUAUUUUUGUUGACAUUCUUGAAAAGCCUAAUAUUGAGGCCUUGCCUCUUGCCCAAAUUGAUCACGAGCCAAGCUGGAUUGAUCCAUUAAUGGAGUAUCUCGCUAAAGAAGUUUUGUCAGCUAAUCCAGUUGAAGCAAGAAGAAUUAAAAGACAGGAUGGUAUGUCAUCCUAGACAACCAACUAUAUAAGAGAUCAUAUUCUUCUCCACUGCUUUGAUGUCUAAGACCAUCAGAAGUUGAUUAUGCUCUUUGAGAAGUUUCUGAAGUAAUUUGCAGCAAUCACUUGGAGAGCAGAUCUUUAGCUUAUAAAAUAAUCAGAUAAGAUUAUUAUUGGCUUACUAUUCAAAAAGAUUCUGCCAAUCUUGUCAACAAAUGUGAUCAGUAGUAAAGGAAUGCCAAUAUUCAACAUCAGUCUGCAUCCGAGCUCAUUUCUAUUACAGUAUCCUAGUCUUUUGCUAUAUGGGGAAUGAAUAUUCUGAGACCUUUUUUCAAUGGCUAUAGGAUAGAGAAAAUUUUUGAUCAUAACCAUUGAUUAUUUCAUCAAAUGGAUAGAAGCCGAGCCACUAGCACAAAUCACUGAGAAAAAGAUAAAAAAUUUUGUAUGAAAAUCGAUUAUCUGCCAUUUCGAUUUUCCUCGAGUGAUAAUCACUGAUAAUGGAUAGCAGUUUGAUAACAAAAAAAUAAAAAAAUUAUUCUGAGCUCCACAUUGAUCACAGAUUCACUUCAGUUGGACAUCCAUAGUUUAAUGGAGAAGUCGAAGUCACUAACAGAAUCAUUCUUCAAGAUAUAAAAAUAAGAUUCAUUGAAGUUAAGGACUCUGGGCAGAAGAAUUUUAUAAUGUUCUCUUGGCAUACAGACCUGCACCUCAGAUACCAACUGGAAAAACACCUUUCAAACUCAUUUUUGGAACAGAGACUGUAAUACCUGUUGAGAUCGAUCUACCUACGACCAUAACACAAAUUUUCAUGCUGAAAGUAAUUUAGAUCAGCUGAGAAAUGAUCUUGAUUUACUUGACGAAAUCUGAGAGAAAGCUCAGAUCCGUAUGGCAGUUUAUAAGCAAAGAGUAGCCAGAUAUUACAUUCUCGAGUGAAGCCUAAAAUUUUUCACAAGGGUGAUCUGAUUCUUUGACGAGCUAAAGUCUCAAAGCCAACGAAACAAGAAAAACUUACUCUAAACUAGGAAGGACCAUAACAGAUUACCGAAGUAAUUCGUCUAGAGGCUUACCAAAUUAAAAAUCUAGAUGGUACAAAUAUCUCAAGAACAUGGAAUGCUGAAAAUCUUAGAAUGUACUAUCAAUGAAAUCUUGUCAAUAAAAGCAUUCUAGUUUUGUCCCAAUAAAGACAAAGUUCUAGCCAGAGUUUCUAUUGAAGAAUCCUUCUUCAUCCAAAUUAGAUUGGUAAAAGCCGAUCAAACGAGGAUGAUUAUAAGAAGGAAAUCAAGGUGUCCAAAUGAGGUUGGAAAAAGCCACGAUAAGGCCAUAAAAAUUCUGAUCAAAUCAGGACAACCUGAUGCGAGACAUCCGAUCUUUGAAUUGGACGUCACCAAAGAACAUGAGACACCCGAUCUCCGAAUUGGAUCUCAUUAGACAAUUUGGAAUCUUUGAUCUUUGGAUCAGACCUUAUUGAGAAAUAUGAAGAAAUGACCUAAAUCCUGUGGAAAGAGUGCUCAGAUCUAUAGCUG